rnacentral:misc_RNA from 1 species
GAUGAAGAACGUAGCGAAAUGCGAUAAGUAAUGUGAAUUGCAGAAUUCAGUGAAUCAUCGUAUCUUUGAACGCACAUUGCGCCCGCCAGCAUUCUGGCGGGCAUGCCUGUUCGAGCGUCAUUUCAACCCUCAAGCUCUGCUUGGUGUUGGGGCCCUACGGUUGACGUAGGCCCUUAAAGGUAGUGGCGGACCCUCUCGGAGCCUCCUUUGCGUAGUAACUAACGUCUCGCAUUGGGAUUCGGAGGGACUCUUGCCGUAAAACCCCCAAAUUUUCUAAUGGUUGACCUCGGAUCAGGUAGGAAUACCCGCUGAACUUAAGCAUAUCAAUAAGCGGAGA